UAGACAAUGGAGAUCUACCGGA
rnacentral:miRNA from 10 species